CCGAGUUUACAACUCCCAAACCCCUGUGAACAUACCACUUGUUGCCUCGGCGGAUCAGCCCGCUCCCGGUAAAACGGGACGGCCCGCCAGAGGACCCCUAAACUCUGUUUCUAUAUGUAACUUCUGAGUAAAACCAUAAAUAAAUCAAAACUUUCAACAACGGAUCUCUUGGUUCUGGCAUCGAUGAAGAACGCAGCAAAAUGCGAUAAGUAAUGUGAAUUGCAGAAUUCAGUGAAUCAUCGAAUCUUUGAACGCACAUUGCGCCCGCCAGUAUUCUGGCGGGCAUGCCUGUUCGAGCGUCAUUUCAACCCUCAAGCACAGCUUGGUGUUGGGACUCGCGUUAAUUCGCGUUCCUCAAAUUGAUUGGCGGUCACGUCGAGCUUCCAUAGCGUAGUAGUAAAACCCUCGUUACUGGUAAUCGUCGCGGCCACGCCGUUAAACCCCAACUUCUGAAUGUUGACCUCGGAUCAGGUAGGAAUACCCGCUGAACUUAAGCAUAUCAAUAAGCGGAGGAA
rnacentral:rRNA from 1 species